UUUUUUCGUCUGUAAAAUUGUUAAUCAACCCAUUCGUACACUCUAUGCGAUCGAAUAUUUCUUACACACAUGAGUUUUUAUACAAGGUAUCGAACUUAUGAAUCUAUUUUCUUUGUGAUUUUUGUGGUUAGUCUUUGAAUCCUAAGAAAGAAUACAGAAAUAGGCUAAGAAUUCACUUCGAAUGAAGAAAUUUAGACUAUUGUUUCCUGAUAUCUCAAUUGGUCAAAUUUAAAAUAAAGUGUAUCCUUUCGAUGAAUGAUCGAAAGAACCACUUUAAGUAAUGAAUAUUAUUCAGAUUUUUAGACGAAAGAACUCCUUUACUAUCAAAAUAUCCAAUAUUUCAAAAAAAAUUCACUGAUUACCCAUAGUCAGGAAUAGAAUAAUUGAGGGAAAGAUAUUAGGAUGAUCAAAAAAAAA
rnacentral:lncRNA from 1 species